rnacentral:rRNA from 1 species
GCUUCGGCCUUAGUGGCGCACGGGUGCGUAACGCGUGGGAAUCUGCCCUCAGGUUCGGAAUAACAGCGAGAAAUUGCUGCUAAUACCGGAUGAUAUCGCGAGAUCAAAGAUUUAUCGCCUGAGGAUGAGCCCGCGUAGGAUUAGCUAGUUGGUGUGGUAAAGGCGCACCAAGGCGACGAUCCUUAGCUGGUCUGAGAGGAUGAUCAGCCACACUGGGACUGAGACACGGCCCAGACUCCUACGGGAGGCAGCAGUGGGGAAUAUUGGACAAUGGGCGAAAGCCUGAUCCAGCAAUGCCGCGUGAGUGAUGAAGGCCUUAGGGUUGUAAAGCUCUUUUACCCGGGAUGAUAAUGACAGUACCGGGAGAAUAAGCUCCGGCUAACUCCGUGCCAGCAGCCGCGGUAAUACGGAGGGAGCUAGCGUUAUUCGGAAUUACUGGGCGUAAAGCGCACGUANGCGGCUUUGUAAGUUAGAGGUGAAAGCCUGGAGCUCAACUCCAGAAUUGCCUUUAAGACUGCAUCGCUUGAAUCCUGGAGAAGUG